ACAUCACUGCUUCCAAUCAAAAUGCUUACGGUCGAUAAGUCUAAUGAUGAUAUACUCAAGGCAGCCCAUAUAGCUUCUGGAAGUUGCCAUCAGUUGCUUUAUUGUCACAAGUUGAGCUGAUAGCAUCCAUUCUAGAAAAGGUAACACAUUCAAUGGCAGCUGUGGUCAUACAUGGAGCCUGUCAUUCACUGAACUUCCAGCCUGGGUGUGUGCCAAGCCUCUACCACUCUGGAGUGAUGAAUAUACUGCAGUCUGAAAGCUCAUUUCAUAUGCUGUGUAGCCUGAUGACUCAUCCUGAGGAAACAUACUGAGAGACAUCUAUUUAGCUUUAUAUUGCACCAUUGUUGGAAGCCAUUUAGGCUUUCUAAUUUAAAAUGCAACAACAGGUAAAACAUAUUUGCAACUGUCCUU
rnacentral:lncRNA from 1 species